AUGCAAGCCGAGCGGUAGAGAUCUUUCGGGAUCUUGAGAGCGGCGUACGGGUGCGGAACACGUGUGCAACCUGCCUUUAUCUGGGGGAUAGCCUUUCGAAAGGAAGAUUAAUACCCCAUAAUAUACUGAAUGGCAUCAUUCGGUAUUGAAAACUCCGGUGGAUAGAGAUGGGCACGCGCAAGAUUAGAUAGUUGGUGAGGUAACGGCUCACCAAGUCUACGAUCUUUAGGGGGCCUGAGAGGGUGAUCCCCCACACUGGUACUGAGACACGGACCAGACUCCUACGGGAGGCAGCAGUGAGGAAUAUUGGACAAUGGGUGAGAGCCUGAUCCAGCCAUCCCGCGUGAAGGACGACGGCCCUAUGGGUUGUAAACUUCUUUUGUAUAGGGAUAAACCUACCCUCGUGAGGGUAGCUGAAGGUACUAUACGAAUAAGCACCGGCUAACUCCGUGCCAGCAGCCGCGGUAAUACGGAGGGUGCAAGCGUUAUCCGGAUUUAUUGGGUUUAAAGGGUCCGUAGGCGGAUCUGUAAGUCAGUGGUGAAAUCUCACAGCUUAACUGUGAAACUGCCAUUGAUACUGCAGGUCUUGAGUGUUGUUGAAGUAGCUGGAAUAAGUAGUGUAGCGGUGAAAUGCAUAGAUAUUACUUAGAACACCAAUUGCGAAGGCAGGUUACUAAGCAACAACUGACGCUGAUGGACGAAAGCGUGGGGAGCGAACAGGAUUAGAUACCCUGGUAGUCCACGCCGUAAACGAUGCUAACUCGUUUUUGGAGCGUAAGCUUCAGAGACUAAGCGAAAGUGAUAAGUUAGCCACCUGGGGAGUACGAACGCAAGUUUGAAACUCAAAGGAAUUGACGGGGGCCCGCACAAGCGGUGGAUUAUGUGGUUUAAUUCGAUGAUACGCGAGGAACCUUACCAAGGCUUAAAUGGGAAAUGACAGGUUUAGAAAUAGACUUUUCUUCGGACAUUUUUCAAGGUGCUGCAUGGUUGUCGUCAGCUCGUGCCGUGAGGUGUUAGGUUAAGUCCUGCAACGAGCGCAACCCCUGUCACUAGUUGCCAUCAUUAAGUUGGGGACUCUAGUGAGACUGCCUACGCAAGUAGAGAGGAAGGUGGGGAUGACGUCAAAUCAUCACGGCCCUUACGCCUUGGGCCACACACGUAAUACAAUGGCCGGUACAGAGGGCAGCUACACUGCGAAGUGAUGCAAAUCUCGAAAGCCGGUCUCAGUUCGGAUUGGAGUCUGCAACUCGACUCUAUGAAGCUGGAAUCGCUAGUAAUCGCGCAUCAGCCAUGGCGCGGUGAAUACGUUCCCGGGCCUUGUACACACCGCCCGUCAAGCCAUGGAAGUCUGGGGUACCUGAAGUCGGUGACCGUAACAGGAGCUGC
rnacentral:rRNA from 1 species